UACAGAGGGGGGCGAGCGUUUGUUCGGAAUUACUGGGCGUAAAGGGCGCGUAGGCGGCCAACUAAGUCAGACGUGAAAUCCCUCGGCUCAACCGGGGAACUGCGUCUGAUACUGGAUGGCUUGAAUUCGGGAGAGGGAUGCGGAAUUCCAGGUGUAGCGGUGAAAUGCGUAGAUAUCUGGAGGAACACCGGUGGCGAAGGCGGCAUCCUGGACCGAGAUUGACGCUGAUGCGCGAAAGCCAGGGGAGCAAACGGG
rnacentral:rRNA from 1 species